rnacentral:rRNA from 1 species
CCCUUAGAUGUUCUGGGCCGCACGCGCGCUACACUGAUGCAUUCAACGAGUCUAAAACCUGGUCUGAUAGGGCUGGGUAAUCUUUUGAAUGUGCAUCGUGAUUGGGAUAGAUGAUUGCAAUUCUUCAUCUUCAACGAGGAAUGCCUAGUAAACGCAAGUCAUCAGCUUGCAUUGAUUACGUCCCUGCCCUUUGUACACACCGCCCGUCGCUACUACCGAUUGAACGUUUUAGUGAGGCAUUUGGACCGACGCAUCUCAGUUUAACCGCUGGUUUGUGUUGGAAAGACUUCCAAACUUGAGCGUUUAGAGGAAGUAAAAGUCGUAACA